rnacentral:rRNA from 1 species
ACUCCUACGGGAGGCAGCAGUGGGGAAUAUUGGGCAAUGGGCGGAAGCCUGACCCAGCGACGCCGCGUGCGGGAUGAAGGCCUUCGGGUUGUAAACCGCUUUCAGCAGGGAAGAAGCGAAAGUGACGGUACCUGCAAAAGAAGCACCGGCUAACUACGUGCCAGCAGCCGCGGUGAUACGUAGGGUGCAAGCGUUGUCCGGAAUUAUUGGGCGUAAAGAGCUCGUAGGUGGUUUGCCACGUCGGAUGUGAAACCCUGAGGCUCAACCUCAGGCCUGCAUUCGAUACGGGCAGACUAGAGUGUGGUAGGGGAGACUGGAAUUCCUGGUGUAGCGGUGAAAUGCGCAGAUAUCAGGAGGAACACCGGUGGCGAAGGCGGGUCUCUGGGCCAUUACUGACACUGAGGAGCGAAAGCGUGGGGAGCAAACAGGAUUAGAUACCCUGGUAGUCCACGCCGUAAACGGUGGGCACUAGGUGUGGGACCCUUCCACGGGUUCUGCGCCGCAGCUAACGCAUUAAGUGCCCCGCCUGGGGAGUACGGCCGCAAGGCUAAAACUCAAAUGAAUUGACGG